rnacentral:rRNA from 1 species
UGCAUAUCCAAAAAGCGGAGGAAAAGAAACCAACCGGGAUUGCCUUAGUAACGGCGAGUGAAGCGGCAAAAGCUCAAAUUUGAAAUCUGGUACCUUCGGUGCCCGAGUUGUAAUUUGGAGAGGGCAACUUUGGGGCCGUUCCUUGUCUAUGUUCCUUGGAACAGGACGUCAUAGAGGGUGAGAAUCCCGUGUGGCGAGGAGUGCGGUUCUUUGUAAAGUGCCUUCGAAGAGUCGAGUUGUUUGGGAAUGCAGCUCUAAGUGGGUGGUAAAUUCCAUCUAAAGCUAAAUAUUGGCGAGAGACCGAUAGCGAACAAGUACAGUGAUGGAAAGAUGAAAAGAACUUUGAAAAGAGAGUGAAAAAGUACGUGAAAUUGUUGAAAGGGAAGGGCAUUUGAUCAGACAUGGUGUUUUGUGCCCUCUGCUCCUUGUGGGUAGGGGAAUCUCGCAUUUCACUGGGCCAGCAUCAGUUUUGGUGGCAGGAUAAAUCCAUAGGAAUGUAGCUUGCCUCGGUAAGUAUUAUAGCCUGUGGGAAUACUGCCAGCUGGGACUGAGGACUGCGACGUAAGUCAAGGAUGCUGCAUAAGUU